ACAGGCAUACCUUGUUUUUAUAUUUUGCAGAUACUGCAGUGUUUUUGUUUUAUCUUACAAAUUGAAGGUUUGUGGCAACCCAGCACUGAUGGUGGAACCCAACCCAUGUAUCUCCACUGUUUGCCUGUAGAGAAAUUCAGUGAGCUGAGAGCUGAGGGAGAAAUCAGAACAGCCCUCCAUUUGUGUCAUCUGCGAUUACAACUAGUAAAUUUAAGCAAAAGAACCAUGAGCUCUCAAUUUGAAUCUUCCCCACAUUCAGUCUCGACACGAAGUAGUCAAUAAAUACUUGUUUAUUGAUUAAACUGAAUUAUAAAAAACAAAACAAAACAAAAAAACUUCCUUCUACUACUAAGCCAUGCGGGCGGAAUCCACAAAGGUAACUUCCUGGUCAAAACCUGGCUGAUCCACUGUUGGUUUUACGGUCUUAAAAAAAUUACCCAACAAUAAAGUCAUACAGUGUGCAGAGGGCAGGAACCCCGCUCUGCUGAGGCUGGGGCUGCUGCAGACUACCAGAGAUGUAGAUAGAGUUGACCAUAGUUCUUGAACUGUCUGAAAGGCAAAGUUUUGACUUGAAAGUCCAUAUUCUGUCAAAAU